rnacentral:rRNA from 1 species
AGUGAACGCUGGCGGUAGGCCUAACACAUGCAAGUCGAACGGCAGCACAGUAAGAGCUUGCUCUUACGGGUGGCGAGUGGCGGACAGGUGAGGAAUACAUCGGAAUCUACUUUUUCGUGGGGGAUAACGUAGGGAAACUUACGCUAAUACCGCAUACGACCUACGGGUGAAAGCAGGGGAUCUUCGGACCUUGCGCGAUUGAAUGAGCCGAUGUCGGAUUAGCUAGUUGGCGGGGUAAAGGCCCACCAAGGCGACGAUCCGUAGCUGGUCUGAGAGGAUGAUCAACCACACUGGAACUGAGACACGGUCCAGACUCCUACGGGAGGCAGCAGUGGGGAAUAUUGGACAAUGGGCGCAAGCCUGAUCCAGCCAUACCGCGUGGGUGAAGAAGGCCUUCGGGUUGUAAAGCCCUUUUGUUGGGAAAGAAAAGCAGCGGGUUAAUACCCCGCUGUUCUGACGGUACCCAAAGAAUAAGCACCGGCUAACUUCGUG